rnacentral:rRNA from 1 species
CAGUAGCCGCGGGAAUACGAAGGGGGCUAGCGUUGUUCGGAUUUACUGGGCGUAAAGGGUGCGUAGGCGGAUUGUUAAGUCAGGGGUGAAAUCCCGAGGCUCAACCUCGGAACUGCCUUUGAUACUGGCGAUCUUGAGUCCGGGAGAGGUGAGUGGAACUGCGAGUGUAGAGGUGAAAUUCGUAGAUGUUCGCAAGAACACCGGUGGCGAAGGCGGCUCACUGGCCCGGUACUGACGCUGAGGAGCGAAAGCGUGGGGAGCGAACAGGAUUAGAGACCCCAGUAGUCCCUGUCUCUUAUAC